rnacentral:rRNA from 1 species
GACGAACGCUGGCGGCGUGCUUAACACAUGCAAGUCGAACGGAAAGGCCCUGCUUUUGUGGGGUGCUCGAGUGGCGAACGGGUGAGUAACACGUGAGUAACCUGCCCUUGAUUUUGGGAUAACUUCAGGAAACUGGGGCUAAUACCGGAUAGGAGCUCCUGCUGCAUGGUGGGGGUUGGAAAGUUUCGGCGGGUGGGGAUGGACUCGCGGCUGAUCAGCUUGUUGGUGGGGUAGUGGCUUACCCAGGCUUUGACGGGUAGCCGGCCUGAGAGGGUGACCGGGCACAAUGGGACUGAGAUAGGGACCAGACUGCUACAGGAGGCAACAGUGGGGAAUAUUGCACAAUGGGCGGAAGCCUGAUGAAGCAACGCCGCGUGCGGGAAGACGGCCUUCGGGUUGUAAACAGCUUUCGCCUGUGACGAAGCGUGAGUGACGGUAAUGAAUAAAGAAGCACCGGCUAACUACGUG